UGCCAGCCGCCGCGGUAAUACGGAGGGGGUUAGCGUUAUUCGGAAUCAUUGGGCGUAAAGGGCACGCAGGCGGUCUUAUCAGUCAGAUGUGAAAGCCCGGGGCUCAACCCCGGACGUGCAUUUGAAACAGUAAGACUUGAGUACGGGAGAGGAAAGCGGAAUUCCUGGUGUAGAGGUGAAAUUCGUAGAUAUCAGGAGGAACACCGGUGGCGAAGGCGGCUUUCUGGACCGAUACUGACGCUGAGGUGCGAAGGCGUGGGUAGCGAACGGGAUUAGAUA
rnacentral:rRNA from 1 species